rnacentral:rRNA from 1 species
UACAGAGGGUGCAAGCGUUAAUCGGAAUUACUGGGCGUAAAGCGUGCGCAGGCGGUUCGUGUGAUCGGUGGUGAAAGCCCCGGGCUUAACCUGGGAAUGGCCAUGGAAACUGGCGAACUGGAGUGUGGCAGAGGGGGGUGGAAUUCCGCGGUGUAGCAGUGAAAUGCGUAGAGAUGCGGAGGAACACCGAUGGCGAAGGCAGCCCCCUGGGCUAACACUGACGCUCAGGCACGAAAGCGUGGGGAGCAAACAGG